GUAGGGGGCAAGCGUUGUCCGGAAUUAUUGGGCGUAAAGCGCGCGCAGGCGGUCUCUUAAGUCUGAUGUGAAAGCCCACGGCUCAACCGUGGAGGGUCAUUGGAAACUGGGAGACUUGAGUGUAGGAGAGGAAAGUGGAAUUCCACGUGUAGCGGUGAAAUGCGUAGAUAUGUGGAGGAACACCAGUGGCGAAGGCGACUUUCUGGCCUACAACUGACGCUGAGGCGCGAAAGCGUGGGGAGCAAACAGGGAUUAGAUACCCUGGUAGUCCACGCUGUAAACGAUGAGUGCUAGGUGUUAGGGGGUUUUCGAUGCCCCCCUUAGUGCCGAAGUUAACACAUUAAGCACUCCGCCUGGGGAGUACGGCCGCAAGGCUG
rnacentral:rRNA from 1 species